GUUUGGCUGGUUUCUGGUGUAGAGAAGGCUCCCAUUCACCCAGUCCUAUGGAUGGUCCUACAGUGGCUGUUUGUCCAGUUGGUCACUAUUGUCCAAAAGGUAUUUCAGUAAUUUCACUCACUAAAAUCAGCCUUUAUUAGGCCUGUCUUAUGAGAUAUUUUGUACUAAGGAUGACACAGUUUAAUAAUAGGGAUGUACUGCUAUUAAAAUUCUGGCUGAUACAGAUUUCAUAAUUUUAUAUAUAUUUUUAUUAUAUUUUUUAAUAUAAUAAAAACAGUACAGGACUAAGGAGUGCUGAGGAGUGCCAGUCAUGCCCUGGAGGGUUUAACUGUGCCUCUACUGGUCUGACUGAACCAUGUGGACUCUGCUCUGAUGGGUAUGUGCCAAGUAAUACAUACACUGUAAUUGCAUUACUGACUGGAUUAACCUUUGGCAUCAUACAGUACUGUAUGUCCCUGAAAGGUUUUAUUGUGCCGAGAAAGCUGAGACUCCUACUCCUAUUGAUGGAGUCUCUGGCCACAUCUGCCCAGAGGGUCAUUAUUGUCCUCCAGGAACCACUCGCCCUGUGCCAUGUGAUCCUGGGACUUUUGUAACCAUCACUCAGGCCUCUCAGUGGUACUGUGUGGAUAGAGCCCGGCUGCUGUGCCCAGAUGGUUUCUACUGUCUUGAAGGCACAGGGUAUGACCGGAGACCUUGUCCAGCAGGGACAUACAGCCCUGACUCUGGUUUGAGUGUCCUCUCUGAGUGUAGAGAAUGUGAUGGAGGACACUACUACUCACUUCAGAACUCCACGUCUGUCACAGGAAAAUGCUCUGAGGGAUGUUACUGCACACAUGGGAACAUCUCACCUCAACCUCACACACAGUCUGCAGGUAAAUGUAGCCAGAGAAUUUUAAAGAUAGACAUUUGAGAUAUUGCAUAAAAGAUUCUGGAUGGAAGCACUAAGAUGCAAAUACUAAAUAUAUAUUACAUUUUUUUUUUUUUUUUUUUUUUUUUUCCUGAGAAAGAAACAUUAAAUUGUUUUUGCUUUAUAUUAAGGUAAGUUGUAUAUAUUAUUUAUAUUAUGAAAAAAAAUGAUAAAACGUUUUGAUGAUAAAUGUUGAUAAUUAAUAUGUAUACGUGUACUCCCCAACAGCCCAAUCAACGAUCACAGCGGAGGACCGUGUCCGACAGGUAAUUGACAGAUCCCCCAAUUCAACACAGAUUAAAACACCCACCUUCCCCUCAAACCGGCCCACCUCAUCCUGUUUUCCGCUCCCGCACAGGUUAUUUUUGCUUUAGAGGCUCAGGCACUCCUCAAGUCUGUCCAGAAGGAUCCUUCAGCAGUAGAGAGAGACAGGCCAGCUGCAGCCUGUGUCCCCAAGGGUAGAUACACUUACACAUACACAAGAAUGUUAAACAUUUAAAGGUGAAGAGUAUCAUUUUUUCAUGUUCAAUAUGGUAUCCCAGGUUGUGCAAAGACAGCUAGAAGUGUGACAAUUACACAUUAUUGCUCCGAAAACUCUGUUAUGCUUUCAAAACAUUACAACAAAUCUGACAGAGUAACAGUAACAAUAGAGUGCAACAGGUGGUUUUCAGAAGUAAAAAUCCCAUUCAUUUUCUUCAGUGGGGAACUGCUUUUGAGCAAUAACUUAUGAACCUUUAAAGUGAGCUACGAAAUUUUAAAUUUGAUUGUCAUUUGCAAUGCUUCAUGGGAUUGUAGUUCUUUCCCUCAUUUAAGUUGUUAAGUACACAGUCUUGUACCUUUAUCUUUUUGUCAAAAUUUAUUUAUUUUUUCUUCAAAUUGAAGUUUGUAAUGUUGUGAUUCAUCUCAUAUCUGGUUUAUUUGGUUCAUAACCCUUUAACGAAGACAUUUUUAAAAUAAAAAAUAAAUAAAAUUGGGUGGGCA
ensembl:lncRNA